UACGUAGGUGGCAAGCGUUACUCGGAAUCACUAGGCGUAAAGCGCAGGUAGGUGGCUCAAUAAGUCUAUUGUGAAAGCUCCCGGCUUAACUGGGAGAGGUCAAUGGAUACUGUUGGGCUUGAGUGUGGUAGGGGAAGCUGGAAUUCCUGGUGUAGCGGUGAAAUGCGUAGAUAUCAGGAGGAACACCUAAGGCGAAAGCAGGCUUCUGGGCCAACACUGACACUGAGCUGCGAAAGCUAGGGGAGCAAACAGG
rnacentral:rRNA from 1 species